GACGAACGCUGGCGGCGUGCCUCAUACAUGCAAGUCGAACGCAGUGGGGACGGGUGAGUAACACGUGGGUAACCUCCCAUCAGAGGGGAUAAUACUUGGAAACAGGUGCUAAACCGAUACUGAUGGAUGGACCCGCGGUGCAUUAGCUAGUUGGUGAGGUAACGGCUCACCAAGGCCACGAUACAUAGCCGACCGGAAAGGGUGAUCGGCACCACUGGGACGGAGACACGGCCCAGAUUCCUACGGGAGGCAGCGUUAGGGAAUCUUCGGCAAUGGACGAAAGUCGGACCGAGCAACGCCGCGUGAGUGAAGAAGGUUUUCGGAUCGUAAAACUCUGUUGUUAGAGAAGCGGUAUCUAACCAGAAAGCCACGGCUAACUACGUGCCAGCAGCCGCGGUAAUUC
rnacentral:rRNA from 1 species